rnacentral:rRNA from 2 species
UUAAGCGGAGGAAAAGAAACUAACCAGGAUUUCCUUAGUAGCGGCGAGCGAACAGGAAAGAGCCCAGCACCGAAUCCCGCGGUUCCGCCGCAGGGAAAUGUGGUGUUCGGGAGGGUCCGCUUAUCCCGAGGUGUCGCGUCGCGUCCAAGUCCAUCUUGAAUGGGGCCACUUACCCGCAGAGGGUGCCAGGCCCGUAGCGACCGGUGCGCGUCUCGGGAGGAUCUCUCCUUAGAGUCGGGUUGCUUGAGAGUGCAGCUCUAAGUGGGUGGUAAACUCCAUCUAAGGCUAAAUACGACCACGAGACCGAUAGCGAACAAGUACCGUGAGGGAAAGUUGAAAAGAACUUUGA